AACGAACGCUGGCGGCAUGCCUAACACAUGCAAGUCGAACGAGACCUUCGGGUCUAGUGGCGCACGGGUGCGUAACGCGUGGGAACCUGCCCUUAGGUUCGGAAUAACUCCCCGAAAGGGGUGCUAAUACCGGUUAAUGUCUUCGGACCAAAGAUUUAUCGCCUUUGGAUGGGCCCGCGUUGGAUUAGCUAGUUGGUAGGGUAAAAGCCUACCAAGGCGACGAUCCAUAGCUGGUCUGAGAGGAUGAUCAGCCACACUGGGACUGAGACACGGCCCAGACUCCUACGGGAGGCAGCAGUGGGGAAUAUUGGACAAUGGGCGAAAGCCUGAUCCAGCAAUGCCGCGUGAGUGAUGAAGGCCUUAGGGUUGUAAAGCUCUUUUACCCGGGAUGAUAAUGACGGUACCGGGAGAAUAAGCACCGGCUAACUCCGUG
rnacentral:rRNA from 1 species